GAGAGUUUGAUCCUGGCUCAGGAUGAACGCUGGCGGCAGGCUUAACACAUGCAAGUCGAGGGGUAUAGGUUUUCGGACCUAGAGACCGGCGCACGGGUGCGUAACGCGUAUGCAAUCUACCUUUUACAGAGGGAUAGCCCAGAGAAAUUUGGAUUAAUACCUCAUAGUAUUAUUGAAUGGCAUCAUUUAAUAAUUAAAGUUCCAACGGUAAAAGAUGAGCAUGCGUCCCAUUAGCUAGAUGGUAAGGUAACGGCUUACCAUGGCGACGAUGGGUAGGGGUCCUGAGAGGGAGAUCCCCCACACUGGUACUGAGACACGGACCAGACUCCUACGGGAGGCAGCAGUGAGGAAUAUUGGUCAAUGGGCGCAAGCCUGAACCAGCCAUGCCGCGUGCAGGAUGACGGUCCUAUGGAUUGUAAACUGCUUUUGUACAGGAAGAAACACUGGUUCGUGAACCAGCUUGACGGUACUGUAAGAAUAAGGAUCGGCUAACUCCGUGCCAGCAGCCGCGGUAAUACGGAGGAUCCAAGCGUUAUCCGGAAUCAUUGGGUUUAAAGGGUCCGUAGGCGGUUUUGUAAGUCAGUGGUGAAAGCCCAUCGCUCAACGGUGGAACGGCCAUUGAUACUGCAAGACUUGAAUUACUAGGAAGUAACUAGAAUAUGUAGUGUAGCGGUGAAAUGCUUAGAUAUUACAUGGAAUACCAAUUGCGAAAGGCAGGUUACUACUGGUGGAUUGACGCUGAUGGACGAAAGCGUGGGGAGCGAACAGGAUUAGAUACCCUGGUAGUCCACGCCGUAAACGAUGGAUACUAGCUGUUCGAGAGCAAUCUUGAGUGGCUAAGCGAAAGUGAUAAGUAUCCCACCUGGGGAGUACGUUCGCAAGAAUGAAACUCAAAGGAAUUGACGGGGGCCCGCACAAGCGGUGGAGCAUGUGGUUUAAUUCGAUGAUACGCGAGGAACCUUACCUGGGCUAGAAUGCUAAGUGACCGUGGGUGAAAGCUCAUUUUGUAGCAAUACACACUUAGUAAGGUGCUGCAUGGUUGUCGUCAGCUCGUGCCGUGAGGUGUUAGGUUAAGUCCUGCAACGAGCGCAACCCCUGUCACUAGUUGCUAGCAUUAAGUUGAGGACUCUAGUGAGACUGCCUACGCAAGUAGAGAGGAAGGUGGGGAUGACGUCAAAUCAUCACGGCCCUUACGCCUUGGGCCACACACGUAAUACAAUGGCCGGUACAGAGGGCAGCUACACAGCGAUGUGAUGCAAAUCUCGAAAGCCGGUCUCAGUUCGGAUUGGAGUCUGCAACUCGACUCUAUGAAGCUGGAAUCGCUAGUAAUCGCGCAUCAGCCAUGGCGCGGUGAAUACGUUCCCGGGCCUUGUACACACCGCCCGUCAAGCCAUGGAAGUCUGGGGUACCUGAAGUCGGUGACCGUAACAGGAGCUGCCUAGGGUAAAACAGGUAACUAGGGCUAAGUCGUAACAAGGUAGCCGUAG
rnacentral:rRNA from 1 species